rnacentral:rRNA from 1 species
CCUACGGGUGGCAGCAGUGGGGGAUAUUGCACAAUGGGGGAAACCCUGAUGCAGCGACGCCGCGUGGGCGAAGAAGUAUUUCGGUAUGUAAAGCCCUAUCAGCAGGGAAGAAGAAAUGACGGUACCUGAGUAAGAAGCACCGGCUAAAUACGUGCCAGCAGCCGCGGUAAUACGUAGGGGGCAAGCGUUAUCCGGAUUUACUGGGUGUAAAGGGAGCGCAGGCGGCACGGCAAGCCUGAUGUGAAAGCUAGCGGCCCAACCGCGGGACUGCAUUUGGAACUACCGGGCUGGAGUGCCGGAGAGGUAGGCGGAAUUCCGUGUGUAGCGGUGAAAUGCGUAGAUAUACGGAGGAACACCAGUGGCGAAGGCGGAUUGCUGGACAGUAACUGACGCUGAGGCGCGAAAGCGUGGGGAGCAAACAGGAUUAGAUACCCGGGUAGUC